rnacentral:rRNA from 1 species
AGAGGGUGCAAACGUUGUUCGGAAUUACUGGGCGUAAAGCGAGUGUAGGCGGUUUGGUAAGUCGGAUGUGAAAGCCCCGGGCUCAACCCGGGAAGUGCACUCGAUACUGCCAAGCUAGAGUAUCGGAGAGGUUGGUGGAAUUCUCGGUGUAGAGGUGAAAUUCGUAGAUAUCGAGAGGAACACCGGUGGCGAAGGCGGCCAACUGGACGAAUACUGACGCUGAGACUCGAAAGCGUGGGGAGCAAACAGGAUUAGAUACCCUGGUAGUCCACGCCGUAAACGAUGGGUGCUAGGUGUCGCGGGCUUUGACUCCUGCGGUGCCGUAGCUAACGCAUUAAGCACCCCGCCUGGGAAGUACGGCCGCAAGGCUA